GUGGGGAAUAUUGGACAAUGGGGGCAACCCUGAUCCAGCCAUGCCGCGUGUGUGAAGAAGGCCUUCGGGUUGUAAAGCACUUUCAGUAGGGAGAAAGGGGUUUAGGUUAAUAGCCUGGAUCAUUGAUGUUACCUACAGAAGCAGCACCGGCUAACUCCGUGCCAGCAGCCGCGGUAAUACGGAGGGUGCAAGCGUUAAUCGGAAUUACUGGGCGUAAAGCGCGCGUAGGCGGUUUGGUCAGUUGGAUGUGAAAGCCCAGGGCUCAACCUUGGAACUGCAUUCAAUACUGCCAGGCUAGAGUACGGUAGAGGGAGGUAGAAUUCCACGUGUAGCGGUGAAAUGCGUAGAGAUGUGGAGGAAUACCAGUGGCGAAGGCGGCCUCCUGGAUCGAUACUGACGCUGAGGUGCGAAAGCGUGGGGAGCAAACAGG
rnacentral:rRNA from 1 species